rnacentral:rRNA from 1 species
UACAGAGGUCUCGAGCGUUAGGCGGAAUCACUGGGCUUAAAGCGUGUGUAGGCGGAUUGCUAAGUACCUUGUGAAAUCCCACGGCUUAACCGUGGAACUGCUUGGUAUACUGGCUGUCUUGAGCCACUUAGGGGCGACCGGAACAAACGGUGGAGCGGUGAAAUGCGUAGAUAUCGUGUGGAACGCCAAAGGUGAAAACAGGUCGCUGGGAGUGUGCUGACGCUGAGACACGAAAGCCAGGGGAGCAAACGGG